CCCUUAGAUGUCCUGGGCCGCACGCGCGCUACACUGAGUGUCUGAGAUACGAGUCUGCCUGGUCCGGCAAGGUCUAGGUAAUCGCUAAAAGACACAUCAUGCUUGGGAUAGAUUAUUGCAAAUAUUAAUCUUGAACGAGGAAUGCCUAGUAAUCGCAGGUCAGCAUCCUGCGAUGAUUCGGUCCCUGCCCUUUGUACACACCGCCCGUCGCUCCAUCCGUGGCAUGCGCCGGUGAAGAGGGGGAGGCAGCGUCGGCCGUGUAACAGCGGAUCGUACGUGGAACCCCUCUGAACCUUCGCACGUAGAGGAAGGAGAAGUCGUAACA
rnacentral:rRNA from 1 species